rnacentral:rRNA from 1 species
AUGGGUUUCCUCCACCUGUUCGCCUCCCACGCGGUGUUCCUCUUCCUCUCCUCCUCAUUGGUGUUUCUUCAUGGCACCGCCGCGGAUCAGGAGGAGGCUUUGCGGACCUACAUUGUCCAGCUGCACCCACGCGGAUCUUCGAGCACGACUGGCACCUCGCUUUCAUCCGCGGCGGCAGCUCUGCGGGCGCUGCAGGAUGUCGUGUCGGUGCGCGAGGAACGCCGCGUCGAGCUGCACACCACGUACUCGUACCGGUUCCUCAGCCUUAACGUGUGCCCGAUCGGGGCGUGGGCACGCGUGCGGUAUGGUCGCGGCGUGGUCAUCGGGGUGCUCGACACUGGCGUGUGGCCGGAGAGCCCAAGCAUCGACGACCGCGGGAUGCCGCCGGUGCCGGACCGGUGGCGGGGCGUGUGCGAGACCGGGGAGCGGUUCAACACGACGAACUGCAACUGGAAGCUCGUCGGCGUGCGGUUCUACUCCAAGGGCCACCGCGCCAACUACCCGACAGACCCGUCGGACGCCGCAGCGCGGGCGUGGGAGUAUGCUUCGCCGCGGGACAUGCACGGGCACGGGACUCACAUGGCGUCGACGGUCGUGGGGGCCGCCGUGGCCGGAGCCAGUGUUCUCGGCGCCGGGGCUGGGGAGGCGCGCGGCGUGGCUUCCGGCGCGCACAUUGCCGCGUACAAGGUCUGCUGGUUCAACGGAUGCUUCAGCUUUGAUAUCCUCGCCGGGAUGGACGACGCGGUGCGCGGCGGCGUCGACGUGCUGUCGCUCUCCCUCGGCGGCUUCCCCAUCCCGCUCUUCGAGGACAGCAUCGCCAUCGGCAGCUUCCGUGCCACGAUGCGCGGCAUCUCCAUCGUGAGCGCCGCCGCGAUCAUGAAGACGUCCGACAUGACGGACCGGCAGGGCAAGCCGAUAACUGACGGCGACGGCGGGGAGCGUGCCGACGCGUUCGCCAUGGGCGCCGGGCACGUGAACCCGGCUCUCGCCGUUGACCCAGGCCUCGUCUACGACAUCGAGCCAGCCGACUACGUGACACACCACUGCACGCUCGGGUACACGCAGAGAGAGGUGUUCAAGAUCAUGCACAGCGCCAUCAACUGCAGCGAGCUGCUCCACGAGAACCCGAGGUUCACGCUCAACUACCCGUCGAUCGCGGUGGCGUUUAAGGACGGCGGCGGCAAGACCUCGGCGGUGCUCCGGAGGAUGGUCACCAACGUGGGCGCGCCCAACUCGGCGUAG